rnacentral:rRNA from 1 species
UACGUAGGGUGCGAGCGUUGUCCGGAAUUAUUGGGCGUAAAGAGCUUGUAGGCGGUCUGUCGCGUCUGCUGUGAAAAUCCGGGGCUCAACCCCGGACUUGCAGUGAGUACGGGCAGACUAGAGUGUGGUAGGGGAGACUGGAAUUUCUGGUGUAGCGGUGAAAUGCGCAGAUAUCAGGAGGAACACCGAUGGCGAAGGCGGGAUCCUGGGCCAGUACUGACGCGUGAG